AUUUCAGGCGAGCCGAGCCCCAGAGCCAUGUGUCUGGUGCGCAGUGUUAACAGGGCAGUUAUACCUUUUACAGACAACUGUGGCUCCAAGUCAAGUAUGAACUUACACAAACAGUUUAUAUAACAAGUGGAGGUGUGCGCCUGCGUGCCAAACUUGCUGACUCGUGCAGGCCUGGAUACCCGCCUCAGACUAUUCCUUGACCGAAGCACUUCCAGGGCAGGAAACUGAAGCUCUUGGGAAGGUGGAAGUUGCACGUGGUCUCACAGUCAACUGUGCCAGAAUAGGAGGCCAGGAACCAUCUCUGCUGGAGGAAGACCCACCACGCAUCCCUUCAAGAAUGCCAAGGUCCAGAGCAAGUGCUUCCCUUCUAUGGGCACAGGAGGGCUGUGGGAGCCCACAGAAUGUGCUUCUGGCCAGAGUGGGAUCCCCGAGGAAGAUGUUAAGACCUCUAAUAAUAUUUAAGAGCAAAAUUAGCACAGCUCCAGCCCAUGGGCAAGUUAAGAGACAGGAGUAGUGUCUGUGGAGUGGAGGAAAGCAGAGGCUGCCGCUGACCAUCCUGCAGCCCUCGCUCUGGCUGCUCACAGCUCUCCACCUUCUCUGGACUUCGUCACUUCAGUAUGUGAAACAACCAUUUCAACCAGCUUGGACAAAAGAGAGAAGCCAAGAUGGGGCUGAGAAACCAAUGCAGGCAGGCCCAGGGACCCAGGAGUCAGGGACCAGGUGCUACCAGAUGCUUGCUCCGACUCGUGUUGCUGCUGUCUUCUCUGUGCCUCAACUCUGUCCUCUGUCACUGCAGGCAGCUUCCUCCCAAGGUGAUCUCCAUGGGAUAACCACAUUGGUUUGUUUAGUAAACACUGAGACCAACUCCACCAUCCAGAGGCCUGACAGACAAAUGGCCUGAGACAGGGCUGGGAAAGUUUUGCUUCUGGUUGGGACUUCAGGAAGAGUUUUGUUUUGUUUUGUUUUCCCCCAAGGGAACAAGCCCUUGAAUCCGGGAGGCCAAGGUUGCGGUGAACCGAGAUUGCGCCAUUGCACUCCAGCCUGGGCAACAAGAGCGAAACUCCGUCUCAAAAACAUAAAAAGUAAAAAAGAUAUGUACGUCAAUGUCAGACUUUCUGUGCUGGAUGGAAGGACUCUGAGCCUACCAAAGGAAGCGUAUUUACAAACCUCUAGGUACUGACUUGUUGCUGAAGGUCAGAAAUUUGCAAUGACAUUUGGAUGUAUUCAAGGGUGGAGGGGCAGGUUUGGGGAAAGUUCUUUUAAAGAAAAAAUGCAAAAUUUGAUUACAAGAAGCUGGGGUGCCUCCCAGGGCCUCGGAAAGGGCUUGCACAAGUGAAGCACCCUGAAGAUAAUGCUUCAUUAGCUUUACAGUGAAGCCACCUCUGAAUCUCUGUUUGGUGUUUGUCCAAAAUAUUCCAAGUUGAAGGCAGGCCUGAUUAUAUGAUCGCACAGCAAUUUUCCUGGGGAAAAGUCUUUUGCUGCCAGUUCUUCCUCUGCUAUGAAUAGGUCUUAGUCUCGUGCUCUCUUUUCUAUCUAUACCCUCUCCCUACUCCAGGGGUCCCCAACCCUUGGGCCACAGGAACCAGGCCACACAGCAGGAAGUGAGCAGGGCGAGCGAAGCUUCAUCCCUAUUUACAGCUGCUCCCCAUUGUUUGCCUUAUGCCUGAUCUCUGCCUCCUGUUAGGUCAGCAGUGGCAUUAGAUUCUCAUAGGAGUGUGAAUGCUAUUGUGAACCGCCCAUGCGAGGGAUCUAGGUUGCACACUUCCUAUGAGAAUCUAAUGCCUGAUGAUCUGUCACUCUCUCCUAUCACCCCCAGAUGGGACCAUCUAGUUGCGGGAAAACGAGCUCAGGGCUCCCACUGAUUCUACAUUAUGGUGAGUUGUGUAGACAAAAAGAGUCCAACUGUAAAAUAUUUGAAGAUAUUUAUUCUGAGCCAAAUAUAAGUGACCAGAGCCCGUGACACAGACCCCAGGAGGUCCUGAGAACACGUGCCCAAGAUGGUUGGGGCACAGCUUGGUUUUAUACAUUUUAGGGAGGUAUGAGACAUCAAUCAAACACAUUUGAGAAAUACUAUAGGUAAAUUUAAACAUUUUCUGGUUGACAAUUGGUUGAGUUUUCACCAUGUUGGUCAGGCUGGUCUCAGACUCCUGACCUCAAGUGAUCUGCCUGCCUUACCUCCCAAAGUGUUGUGGUUACAGGCAUGAGCCACCACACCAAACUGACCUUGCAAAGCUGUCCUUUGUGGGGGAGAAUUUGAAUCUGUAAAGAAUCUUUAUUAACAUAGCUAGAUCUUUUUGUAGCUAGAAAAAGGCCCUCCUAAUCCUAAAGAGAUUAACUAAGAGUCUAGUACCUUUUAAAGGUCUGAAUAGGAAACAUUUCUCAUCUAUUGUCUCUAAGGACAGUCACUGUAAGACCUCAAAGGAACUUUGGCCUCCACAAUCUUUUAUCUUAACCUGAACAUUUCUAUCGAUCCCUGAGUAGCUGGGAUUACAGGAACGUGCCACCAUGCCCAGCUAAUUUUUGUAUUUUUAGUAGAGACGGGAAUUUCACCAUGUUGGCCAGGCUGGUCUUGAGCUCCUGACCUCAGGUCAUCUGCCUGCCUCGGCCUCCCACCAUCUCAGCAUCUUUGCAUCUGCUCUUCCCUUUGCUUGGAGCACUCUUUCCCCAGAAUUUCAUUCUCAUAUUCAAGAUGUAGCUCACAUGUUGCCACCUUCUCAGAGGUUCUCAAGGAGACCUUCCCUGACCACCCAACCAAAGAAACCUUCUAGACCCUUUCUAUUGCACCACUCUGCUCUAUUUUCUUUUCUUUUGAGACGCAGUCUCGCUCCGUCACCCAGGCUGGACUACAGUGGCACGAUCUCGGCUCACUCCAACCUCCACCUCCCAGGUUCAAGCGAUUCUCCUGCCUCAGCCUCCUGAGUAGCUGGGAUUACAGGCGCACACCACCACGCCCAGCUAAUUGUUGUAUUUUUAGUAGAGACGGGGUUUCACCAUGUUGGUCAGGCUGAUCUCAAACUCCUGACCUCAUGAUCCGCCCGUCUCAGCCUCCCAAAGUGCUGGGAUUACAGGCGUGAGCCACCGCGCCUGACCAUGGACACUCAUUUUUUUUUUUUUUUUGAGAUGGAGUUUUGCUCUUGUUUCCCAGGCUGGAAUGCGAUGGCACAAUCUUGGCUCACUGCAACCUUUGCCUCCUGGGUUCAAGCGAUUCUUCUGCCUCAGCCUCCCGAGUAGCUGGGAUUACAGGCAUGCACCAUCAUGCCCAGCUAAUUUUGUAUUUUUUAGUAGAGAUGGGGUUUCACCAGGUUCACCAGGCUGAUCUCGAACUGCCAACCCCAGGUGAGACUCCUGCCUCAGCCUCCCAAGUGCUGGUAUUACAGGAGUGAGCCACCGUGCCCAGCCAUGGACACUCAUUUUUUUUUUUUUUUUAAUGGAUCAUUCUUGGGUGUUUCUCACAGAGGGGGAUUUGGCAGGGUCAUAGGACAAUAGUGGAGGGAAGGUCAGCAGAUAAACAAGUGAACAAAGGUCUCUGGUUUUCCUAUGCAGAGGACCCUGCGGCCUUCCGCAGUGUUUGUGUCCCUGGGUACUUGAGAUUAGGGAGUGGUGAUGACUCUUAACGAGCAUGCUGCCUUCAAGCAUCUGUUUAACAAAGCACAUCUUGCACCACCAUUAAUCCAUUUAACCCUGAGUGGACACAGCACAUGUUUCAGAGAGCACAGGGUUGGGGGUAGGGUCACCGAUCAACAGGAUCACAAAGCAGAAGAAUUUUUCUUAGUACAGAACAAAAUGAAAAGUCUCCCGUGUCUACCUCUUUCUACACAGACAUGGCAACCAUCCGAUUUCUCAAUCCUUUCCCCGCCUUUCCCCCCUUUCUAUUCCACAAAACCGCCAUUGUCAUCAUGGCCCGUUCUCAAUGAGCUGUUGGGUACACCUCCCAGACGGGGUGGUGGCUGGGCAGAGGGGCUCCUCACUUCCCAG
rnacentral:lncRNA from 1 species